CAGUCUGGAAUUCGAGAAAAACACAGUACUUUUUUAGAAAGUUCAUUAUAGCACACUAGCGCUUCACGCGGUGCAGUACUAACAAACCUUUUUCUCUCUAGCACGUAAGGCUCACACAUGCGUUCCUUCUCCAGAAAGAUUAUAGAACAGGUAAUCGUAACUCACCUCCACUAAGUCGGUUCUAUCGUAACUACUGAACGGAUCCAUUAUUAAGUUCAUUCGAUUCUUCAACUAAGCAAAUGCAAAGACUGUCGUACAAACGUAACAAUAUGUUCGUUACAGAGAAGUGUCACGAUUUACGCGAAGGUAAAUGUAUGUCACAGCGCGGCGUGAACAAGUCGCAUCACUGUCUGUUGGAAAACAGAUCGAAAACAAUUAUACUUCAAACUAAGCACGAGGUCGCGGCGUUGUCGCGCAACGCGAUACUGAUCGCCGGUCGCCGAAAUGUCUCUGACGAAGACGCCAGGCGAUGUGGUGACGCGAAAGACGUCAGCGGGAGUAUCACGGGGACGGAUAGCGCGGAAGAGCAGGUUUCAACGGGGAUUUCCCGCUCUUUGGAAUUGACCAAUCAUCGGCGACGUGCUUCACGAUAGCUGACGCAAUAAUUGCGGAUACACACCAUUGGCGGCGGUUGCCGAGAUCCGGAGAAUUCGAGACGAAAACGCAACCGAAAAUAUAGCUAACGCGACGGUUAUUCCCCGAGUGGCUUCAUUAUUUUGCGAUCCAACGAGGUCGACCGGACGGUGCACUGGGGUAUCCGUAUCAUCGAAAAUCUGGCCGAAAAUUCAUCUUCUUUAAUCUUUCCUCAACUGUGAAAUUUUCAUUCUUAGGAAAAACCAAAGCAGGAAUAUUAUAUUUACAAAUUUUAUUUCUGCACCUUUGAAGUGAUACAUACGUGUAAUAAAUAAAGCUAAAUUUUGAUAAUGGUCUCCUCAGCCCUUAUAUACCGUAUUUUUUAUUGUUGUAUCAACUACUCUCUUAUGAUAAACAAUAUUUUAAAAUGGACUAUAAUUUAUUCAUGUUUUUUAAGAAUGUCAUGUAUCACUUAAAAUAUCAUCCUGUUAUAUUUCAGGAUACAUCCCAAUUUUUGUAAAAAAAAUUAAUUGUAAAGAAUGCUUUGUUACGCUUAUAGUAUAAUCGCUCGAAUUGAAUUUCUUUAGCUAUUGUAAGUAGAAAUGAUAAUAAUGUUACGUAUUUUUUAAACCACUAGAAUCAUUUGGAAUUAAUUUGAUAGUGCGGAAUCAAUUUGCGAUAUAAUGCAAGAGCGAAAGUUUAGAAAAAGAAACGGAAUAUCUUGUAGACUUUCGUCGAACCAAGAAAAUUUUUAAGAAGAACCUCAAGCGUUUAAACACAAAAUGCAUAUCUCGCUUAAAGUAGAAGAGAAGAGGGUUGCAUCAUAAGGGGUUAUAGUGUACUAUUCAAAAUUCUGACAUGUAAAAUAGAUCCUCUGGUUUAUAUAAAAAGAGAGUUUUUUAAAUAUAUAUUUGGACAAAUAUAUGUUAUGGAAAAUUCAUAUGUGGCGUUUAAAAUACGUUUUUUCCAAACAAAUACAUAGGUUGUUUGCCGCCAAGUAGAAACACGUGUUGCGAAGAUUCGAGUUUUCGCAGUUCAAAUUACUAAAUCAACCAAACGAUAUCAAUCUUUUUUAAGGUUAAAAGGUUGUACGUCCAAUCGGUUGUAUAUAAAAUGAUUCCGCAAAAACAAAUAACAGAUAACAAAUGAUCGAAUGUAAUUAAGUGUGCAUGUCUGUGUACAAAUAUCUUAAAUAUACUUUAUACUUUCAUUAACUAAACAACGCAUGAAAGAGUUAUCGGAUAUAAAUAUGUUGUCAUAGAUGGAAUUUCAUUCAAUGAUUUAAUGUAAUGAUUUAUAAUAAUACUAAUUUGGGUCAGUAAGGUAAAUUUUUCUAGUGAAUAA